rnacentral:rRNA from 1 species
UACGUAGGGGGCGAGCGUUGUCCGGAUUUAUUGGGCGUAAAGGGUGCGUAGGCUGCGGGGUAAGUCUGAUGUGAAAUCCCGGGGCUCAACCCCGGAACUGCAUUGGAUACUGCCUUGCUAGAGCACUGGAGAGGAGACUGGAAUUUACGGUGUAGCAGUGAAAUGCGUAGAGAUCGUAAGGAAGACCAGUGGCGAAGGCGAGUCUCUGGACAGUUGCUGACGCUGAGGCACGAAGGCCAGGGGAGCAAACGGG